AUUGAACGCUGGCGGCAGGCCUAACACAUGCAAGUCGAGCGGAGCGGCGGACGGGUGAGUAAUGCCUAGGAAGCUGCCUGGUCGUGGGGGAUAACGUCCGGAAACGGGCGCUAAUACCGCAUACUAUCAGAUGAGCCUAGGCAGAAUUAGCUAGUUGGUGGGGUAAAGGCCUACCGAGGCGACGAUCCGUAACUGGUCUGAGAGGAUGAUCAGUCACACUGGGACUGAGACACGGGCCAGACUCCUACGGGAGGCAGCAGUGGGGAAUAUUGGACAAUGGGCGAAAGCCUGAUCCAGCCAUGCCGCGUGUGUGAAGAAGGUCUUCGGAUUGUAAAGCACUUUAAGUUGGGAGGCGUUACCAACAGAAUAAGCACCGGCUAACUUCGUGCCAGCAGCCGCGGUAAUUC
rnacentral:rRNA from 1 species